rnacentral:rRNA from 1 species
AGAGUUUGAUCCUGGCUCAGAAUCAACGCUGGCGGCGUGCCUAACACAUGCAAGUCGAGCGAGAAAAGGGUAGCAAUAUCCUGAGUAAAGCGGCGCACGGGUGAGUAACACGUGGGUAAUCUGCCCUGGAGUGGGGAAUAACACCGGGAAACCGGUGCUAAUACCGCAUACGAUCGCGAUGUCUGCGGACGUUGUGAUGAAAGGAGCAAUUCGCUCCAGGAGGAGCCCGCGGCUGAUUAGCUAGUUGGUGAGGUAAUGGCUCACCAAGGCUACGAUCAGUAUCCGGUCUGAGAGGACGGUCGGACACACUGGAACUGAGACACGGUCCAGACUCCUACGGGAGGCAGCAGUGGGGAAUUUUUGGCAAUGGGGGCAACCCUGACCAAGCAACGCCGCGUGGGUGAUGAAGUCUCUUGGGACGUAAAACCCUUUCGACGGGGAAGAAACCGCAAGGUUGACGGUACCCGUAGAAGAAGCCCCGGCUAACUCCGUGCCAGCAGCCGCGGUAAUACGGGGGGGGCAAGCGUUGUUCGGAAUUACUGGGCGUAAAGGGUGCGUAGGCGGUGCUCUAAGUCGGAUGUGAAAACUCUGGGCUCAACCCAGAGCCUGCAUCCGAAACUGGAGUGCUAGAGUUCUGGAGGGGGUAGCGGAAUUCCUGGUGUAGCGGUGAAAUGCGUAGAUAUCAGGAGGAACACCGGUGGCGAAGGCGGCUACCUGGACAGAAACUGACGCUGAGGCACGAAAGCUAGGGGAGCAAACAGGAUUAGAUACCCUAGUAGUCC